AGCCGAGCGGUAAAGAUUCUUCGGAAUCUUGAGAGCGGCGCACGGGUGCGGAACACGUGUGCAACCUACCUUUAUCAGGGGGAUAGCCUUUCGAAAGGAAGAUUAAUACCCCAUAAUAUAUUGAAUGGCAUCAUUCGAUAUUGAAAACUCCGGUGGAUAGAGAUGGGCACGCGCAAGAUUAGAUAGUUGGUGAGGUAACGGCUCACCAAGUCAAUGAUCUUUAGGGGGCCUGAGAGGGUGAUCCCCCACACUGGUACUGAGACACGGACCAGACUCCUACGGGAGGCAGCAGUGAGGAAUAUUGGACAAUGGGUGAGAGCCUGAUCCAGCCAUCCCGCGUGAAGGACGACGGCCCUAUGGGUUGUAAACUUCUUUUGUAUAGGGAUAAACCUUUCCACGUGUGGAAAGCUGAAGGUACUAUACGAAUAAGCACCGGCUAACUCCGUGCCAGCAGCCGCGGUAAUACGGAGGGUGCAAGCGUUAUCCGGAUUUAUUGGGUUUAAAGGGUCCGUAGGCGGACUCGUAAGUCAGUGGUGAAAUCUCAUAGCUUAACUAUGAAACUGCCAUUGAUACUGCGGGUCUUGNAGUAAGGUAGAGGUAGCUGGAAUAAGUAGUGUAGCGGUGAAAUGCAUAGAUAUUACUUAGAACACCAAUUGCGAAGGCAGGUUACCAUGUCUUAACUGACGCUGAUGGACGAAAGCGUGGGGAGCGAACAGGAUUAGAUACCCUGGUAGUCCACGCCGUAAACGAUGCUAACUCGUUUUUGGGGCUUUAAGCUUCAGAGACUAAGCGAAAGUGAUAAGUUAGCCACCUGGGGAGUACGAACGCAAGUUUGAAACUCAAAGGAAUUGACGGGGGCCCGCACAAGCGGUGGAUUAUGUGGUUUAAUUCGAUGAUACGCGAGGAACCUUACCAAGGCUUAAAUGGGAAUUGAUCGGUUUAGAAAUAGACCUUCCUUCGGGCAAUUUUCAAGGUGCUGCAUGGUUGUCGUCAGCUCGUGCCGUGAGGUGUUAGGUUAAGUCCUGCAACGAGCGCAACCCCUGUCACUAGUUGCUAACAUUCAGUUGAGGACUCUAGUGAGACUGCCUACGCAAGUAGAGAGGAAGGUGGGGAUGACGUCAAAUCAUCACGGCCCUUACGCCUUGGGCCACACACGUAAUACAAUGGCCGGUACAGAGGGCAGCUACACAGCGAUGUGAUGCAAAUCUCGAAAGCCGGUCUCAGUUCGGAUUGGAGUCUGCAACUCGACUCUAUGAAG
rnacentral:rRNA from 1 species